CCUACGGGGGGCAGCAGUGGGGAAUAUUGCACAAUGGGGGAAACCCUGAUGCAGCGAAGCCGCGUGAGCGAGGAAGUCUUUAGGUGUGUAAAGCUCUAUCAGCAGAGACGAAAAAAGACGGUACCUGACUAAGAAGCCACGGCUAAAUACGUGCAAGAAGCCGAGGUAAUACGCAGGGGGCAAGCGUUAGCCGGAUUUACUGGGUGUAAAGGGAGCGUAGACGGCAAGGCAAGUCAGAAGUGAAAGGGCAGGGCUCAACCCUGGACAUUCUUUUGAUACUGUGGUGCUAGAGUGCAGGAGAGGUAAGUGGAAUUCCUGGUGUAGCGGUGAAAUGCGUAGAUAUUAGGAAGAACACCAGUGGCGAAGGCGGCUUACUGGACUGUAACUGACGUUGAGGCUCGAAAGCGUGGGGAGCAAACAGGAUUAGAUACCCUAGUAGUC
rnacentral:rRNA from 1 species